UACGUAGGGGGCAAGCGUUGUCCGGAUUUAUUGGGCGUAAAGCGCGUGUAGGCGGCCAUGUAGGUCUGACGUGAAAUUCCGAGGCUCAACCUCGGCAGGUUGUUGGAAACCAUAUGGCUAGAGUCCGGAAGAGGAGAGUGGAAUUCCUGGUGUAGCGGUGAAAUGCGCAGAUAUCAGGAAGAACACCAAUGGCGAAGGCAGCUCUCUGGGACGGUACUGACGCUGAGACGCGAAAGCGUGGGGAGCGAACAGG
rnacentral:rRNA from 1 species